rnacentral:rRNA from 1 species
AACGCGAAGAACCUUACCAGGUCUUGACAUCCUUUGAUCACCCUAGAGAUAGGGCUUUCCCCUUCGGGGGACAAAGUGACAGGUGGUGCAUGGUUGUCGUCAGCUCGUGUCGUGAGAUGUUGGGUUAAGUCCCGUAACGAGCGCAACCCUUGUCCUUAGUUACCAGCACGUAGUGGUGGGCACUCUAAGGAGACCGCCGGUGCCAAACCGGAGGAAGGUGGGGAUGACGUCAAGUCAGCAUGGCCCUUAUGGGCAGGGCUACACACGUGCUACAACGGCCGGUACAGAGGGUUGCCAACCCGCGAGGGGGAGCUAAUCCCAGAAAACCGGUCGUAGUCCGGAUCGGAGUCUGCAACUCGACUCCGUGAAGUCGGAAUCGCUAGUAAUCGCGGAUCAGCAUUGCCGCGGUGAAUACGUUCCCGGGCCUUGUACACACCG